UGGCGGUGGUCGACGGCAACGGCGGGUCCUUGCGGUAUGCUGACUUGUUCCUUCCGGCGGAGGGGGCGGCGGAAGGCGGAGGGCGCGUUCCUUGCGGCAGUGGCAGGCGUGUCCCUUGCGGCGGCGGUGACAGCGCGGCUGCGCGGGGGAGGGGAAGCAGCAGCGGCUGCGGUAGCAGAGGGGCGUCCGCCGCGUGGUCAACAUACCUAGGCUGCUGCAACAGACGCCUAGGGUUCCUCCUUCCCAAACCCCAACCAGCUAUGAAGCAACCGACGCUCCAAGCUCGCCAGAUCUCGCUCUCGCCGUCUAACACCAGCAAAGGCUGCAACCCAUGGGACCUGGAUGAACAGUUCAGCCACCAAGAAAUGCCCCACAAUCUCAAGGACAACAUUCUGGGAGUAACUCAGCAUCAAAAUCUAGGAAGGUGCGUGGGAUAAAUAAGGGAAAGGGCUUGGAGCGUUUGAUCAAAAGGGCAGGUCAUCCACUAAACUUGACCAUUUCUGAAGAGAGAAGACCUAUUGGAGAAAACAAUGAACUACUUUCUAGAGAGAUUGGACUUCUUACACGGCACCAUGCACCUAUCCAACGUGUCGGGUGGCAUAGUCUUACUGAGGAUGAUAAGGACCCAUUGUAUGAACUUCUAAAGCUUAAGUUCAAUCUUGAUUUCACCCAAGAUCAUAUCAAAGGCUGUGUGGAUCUGCUAUUCUCUUCAAGCUAAAAAAGUUUCCGUCACAAGUAUUAUGAGCAUUAUGUAAAAUAUGGUGAUGAUGCUAGAAGCAAUCCAUAUCCCCCCUUAUUGAUAAUAGAGUUGGAGACUGGAUUUGGCUCUGUGAUCAUUUUGAAACAGAAGAAUUUAAGAAACGGUCCACAAUUGGGAAGGCUAACCGCUCAAACCUACCUUAUGUUCACAAGAAGGGAACAAAGUCAUUUGUAGCGGUUCAACAUGAAUUAAAUUGUGGCUAUAUCAGACUAUACAAGGAGUGUUGCUCUAGUGAUAAGAAGGGAUGGGCAUCAGAAGAUGCCAGGAAUAAACAUGUUCUCUGGUCUCAGAUGGAUGGUCAAGGAGGUGAAGCAACUUUGGAGAGGUGUAGAGGACAUGUGGGGAGUGAUCGGAGCAGUGCUAAACUAGAUGCCAAAAGAGUAGUUCCUGAUUUGCAAAUUCGGCUUACAAAUACUAGAUGUCAAAUACUAGAAAAGUUCCUUCUUGGUGACCGGAUCAUAUGUUUGGAGCAGUACUAAAGUUGGUACUUUGCAAAUACUCCCUCCGUCCGGAAAUACUUGUCGGUGGAAUGGAUGUAUCUAGACGUAUUUUAGUUCUAGAUACAUCCAUUUUUAUGCACUUCUCCGACAAGUAUUUCCGGACGGAGGGAGUACUAGAAUAUUAUUUCCUGAUGGUACUGAAGUUGUGAAACAAAAUUCGGCUUACAAAUGUUAGCAUGUAAUGAUUGGAUCAUAAGUUUACAAAUGCUGAUUCUGAACUUUUUCCUGUUGUAUGUCUAAAAUUCUAAGAUUUCUUGCAUACUACUAAUGUCAGCAUGUGGCAAUAUAUUGUAGCUAUGAUAUACUCCCUCC